GUGGAUGAUGUGGUUUAAUUCGAUGCAACGCGAAAAACCUUACCCACCUUUGACAUGUACGGAAUUUGCCAGAGAUGGCUUAGUGCUCGAAAGAGAACCGUAACACAGGUGCUGCAUGGCUGUCGUCAGCUCGUGUCGUGAGAUGUUGGGUUAAGUCCCGCAACGAGCGCAACCCUUGUCAUUAGUUGCUACGAAAGGGCACUCUAAUGAGACUGCCGGUGACAAACCGGAGGAAGGUGGGGAUGACGUCAAGUCCUCAUGGCCCUUAUAGGUGGGGCUACACACGUCAUACAAUGGCUGGUACAGAGGGUUGCCAACCCGCGAGGGGGAGCUAAUCCCAUAAAACCAGUCGUAGUCCGGAUCGCAGUCUGCAACUCGACUGCGUGAAGUCGGAAUCGCUAGUAAUCGCGGAUCAGAAUGUCGCGGUGAAUACGUUCCCGGGUCUUGUACACACCGCCCGUCACA
rnacentral:rRNA from 1 species